rnacentral:rRNA from 1 species
AUGGACCCAACUGAGAUUUUGAACGUUUGGUUUCAUAUUGGAGGGAAGUUCAUCCGCAUUGGUCCAAAUUUGGACUAUGUUGGGGGAGAUCAAGCAAUGUCAGAGAUUGAGAGGGAUAAAUAGUCUCUGCAGGAAGUGAAAGGCUAUUUAAAAGAUCAUACUCAGUUGAUGGAAUCGAUGAAGUUCUAUUUGCUGCUUCCUGGAAAAGAGCUUAUCAAUGGCUUAGUGUUCCUUGAUGAUGACAGUUGGUGUGUGAAGAUGGCUGAGUACAUUUGUGUUGCAGGAGUUGCUGAUGUGUAUGUGGAGUAUCAUGGAGAGGAAGAUAGCAAUGACAACAGCAGUGGGAUUGAUUUUGAGGAUGAAAUCAUGGAACAGAGUGAUGAUGAUGAACUAGAUGCAGUUAUAACUGCUGAAGAACCA